rnacentral:ncRNA from 12 species
CCCGUUCGGGUCCGUGGUUGCGCCGGGCCUGCCGCACGGCAGGUCCGGCUAGCCGAUGCCAGCCGCAGGCGAAACGGCCCACGUAAGGCGACUCUUCGUCGACCGAUCACGGUGCGGCUUAGAGGUAAGUCCUGCCUUCCCGGGGGUCCGGAUGUCCCCCGUACGAAGAGAAGGGUAGUAGUGGCGGGAGAAGAGCCGCGAACCCCUCAGCAGGCGGAUGUGGGGACGAAGACCAGGUCGGCCGAACGGG